AGCAGCCGCGGUAAUUCCAGCUCCAAUAGCGUAUAUUAAAGUUGCUGCAGUUAAAAAGCUCGUAGUUGAAUUUCGGGACCAAUAUGUCGGUCGUGCCUCGGUACGUACUGGCAUCGUUGGUUUCUCCCUUCUGACGAACCAUGAUGUCAUUUAUUUGGUGUCGUGGGGAAUCAGGACUGUUACUUUGAAAAAUUAGAGUGUUUAAAGCAGGCUCACGCUUGAAUACAUUAGCAUGGAAUAAUGAAAUAGGACGUUUGAUUCUAUUUUGUUGGUUUCUAGGAUCGACGUAAUGAUUAAUAGGGAUAGUUGGGGGCAUUAGUAUUCAAUUGUCAGAGGUGAAAUUCUUGGAUUUAUUGAAGACUAACUACUGCGAAAGCAUUUGCCAAGGAUGUUUUCAUUAAUCAAGAACGAAAGUUAGGGGAUCGAAGACGAUCAGAUACCGUCGUAGUCUUAACCAUAAACUAUGCCGACUAGGGAUCGGAUGAUGUUAAUUUUUAAUGUACUCA
rnacentral:rRNA from 1 species